UAAAGCUUGGAUACCCUAAGUUUUUAUUAGUGAUUUACAAUGUCUUAACAUUUUUUGAGUCUCCAGAUACAUAAUAACAAUGUCCUUAGAGAAGCAGGAGUGUAGCCAUCUGAGCCACUGAAGGCCUGAAGCUGGGGUCAUCCAGCCCUGUGGAGAUGAGGUGAAUAGAUAUCCAGAGAGGCAGGUGAGUGUGUAAGCCAGUGAAACCCGAAGGAACAAGGCCUCCUUGACAGUGGCCAACUAUCAAGACAUCCUGCCAGGACCUUCACAGCCACCUUAUUGUUGUGCAAAUGUUCUCACAGAUGGUGAGACCGUUUAGGGCUUGAACAUUCAUGCCUCAGCUGCCCUUUCUUAGGUUCAUAACUAGAGAGAUGAAAGGACAGUCCCUGAAGUGGUUUCCCCUCCCCUCUUCAGUGCUGAUGGGAUGAAUGGUGGGCUGUGUGGGACUAGGGUCCUUCUGCUUAAGCUUCUUGAAUCCUAAGACGCUACAAGUCUUCAUUUGGGGGAAAGGAUGGUAAACAGGUAAGGGGAGAAGCCAGUGAGGAGAGAGGGAACCAGAGAAUGAAUUGUAGUAGAGAGGAGAAAGCACCAGCUUCCAGAGCCAUCCCAGACCCCUGUAAACAGAGCACCCCAAACAACAGUCGCGAGGUCUGGGGAUCUUUUCUGUGAGGUUAUGUCCUAUUAUGUCUCUUUGGAAAUUUGUGUCUGUGAGAGGACGUGUCAGAUGGUUGGGAAAGCUCGGGAAGAAAUAGGGGAUAGUCUGUCUGUGUUUGUCUCUCGGGGAAAAUGCAGGUACCAUUACACGAAGGCUGCUUCUGGUCGAACACGAUGUGUAUCGUGGGAACGCGGUGAGGGUUUCAGGAGACUGUGUUGUGGGCAGGAGCGUUGGCGCAGUCUCUUCUCUGCCCUGUCCUUGGUCCCAUCAGUCCUGCCCUGCUUGUGUGAGUGCGGGGCACCCAGCUCUCUCCGCAGCUUCCCCUCGGCUGCGUCCUGCCCCGCCCCUUAUGGACGCGCCCGGCGAGCCCUCGCCACCUACUUCCCGCCACCUACUUCCCUGCAGUGGACGCGUCUGUCCCUCGGCGCUUGCUGGUUGCGCGCACGCGCGCCCACAGAUCCGCGCGCACUGAUGACGCAGCACUGACGACACACGCACGACGCAAGUCCCCAGGACCCUGGCUUCCGGCCGCGGCGGCCCUAGCGCCGCGCGACCGGAGAGAUCGCCUGGUUGCGAGCGGUAUGCGGUGCUGAGGAGCCACAGUCCCUACGACGGCGCCAUGAACCUCCUGCCGUGUAACCCUCACGGCAACGGGCUGCUGUACGCCGGCUUCAACCAGGACCACGGGUGUUUUGCAUGUGGAAUGGAAAAUGGAUUCCGAGUCUAUAAUACCGAUCCACUCAAAGAAAAAGAGAAACAAGAAUUUUUAGAAGGAGGAGUUGGCCAUGUGGAAAUGUUAUUUCGCUGUAACUAUUUAGCUUUAGUUGGUGGUGGAAAAAAACCGAAAUACCCUCCCAACAAAGUGAUGAUCUGGGAUGAUCUGAAGAAGAAGACAGUCAUCGAGAUAGAAUUCUCCACAGAGGUCAAGGCUGUCAAGUUGCGGAGAGAUAGAAUUGUGGUGGUUCUGGACUCCAUGAUUAAGGUGUUCACGUUCACACACAAUCCCCACCAGUUGCACGUCUUUGAAACCUGCUACAACCCUAAAGGCCUCUGUGUCCUGUGUCCCAACAGUAACAACUCCCUUCUUGCCUUCCCUGGCACUCACACUGGCCACGUACAGCUUGUGGACCUGGCCAGCACUGAAAAGCCACCCGUGGACAUUCCCGCACAUGAGGGUGUCCUGAGCUGUAUUGCUCUCAACCUGCAGGGAACAAGAAUUGCAACUGCAUCUGAAAAAGGCAUUUAAUCCAGGAGCUACGAAGAGGAUCUCAAGCAGCCAAUAUCUAUUGCAUCAACUUCAAUCAGGACGCUUCUCUCAUCUGUGUGUCCAGUGAUCAUGGCACUGUGCACAUUUUUGCAGCCGAAGAUCCAAAAAGGAAUAAACAGUCUAGUUUGGCAUCAGCCAGUUUCCUUCCAAAAUACUUCAGCUCCAAGUGGAGUUUUUCCAAGUUUCAGGUUCCUUCAGGCUCACCAUGCAUCUGUGCCUUUGGAACAGAGCCCAAUGCAGUCAUUGCUAUCUGUGCAGAUGGCAGCUACUACAAGUUCCUGUUCAGUCCGAAGGGCGAGUGUGUCCGGGACGUGUGUGCACAGUUCCUGGAGAUGACCGAUGACAAGCUGUGACUGUGCCUGUGAGCGCAGGUGAUGCCACCACCCAGCCGCCCUGUGGACUCCUGGGGCUGGUGCCAGUGCCCCAGGCCUGUGGGUGAGGGGCUCAAGGCCCCCCUGGAGGACCUUGGUCUCGAAGCCAUACGUGGUUGUCUGCCUUCCUGAGCAAGGCUUCUCAUCCCAUAUUAAAGGAUCAUCAUCAUGGUUCUGCAGACACUCCGUGGCUCUGGGCGGUUCGUGCCCUUGCUAGCCACUACCCUUCAAUUCACCUGUGAUGCUAGCAUUAAUGGCACCACCAUAUUCAUGCCAGUAGGCUCCCUGCAGUCCUUGGGAACUAUCCAAGCACGAAUCAGCAGAAGCUUGUAGGAUGAGUGUGUCGGGGCUUAAAUACUAGACAGUUCCAAUGAGAUAACACUAUCAGCUUGUCUGGUAGAGCACCCCCUGCCUCACAUGGGGAGCACUGUUCAGAGCACACACUGGGGAGUUCUGACUUUGGCCAUUAGAGUGAGUCACAUCCCAGACCUACCAGAGAGCAGAAUGCUUGUGGCACCCAUUUGAGGCACAGCCCUCAGGAUGCAGGGUGCUGGGUCUUCUGGUUUUGUUUGGGUUAAAACAGAACUUUCCCAUUAUCUGUAGGGAACAGAGUAACGCAUAGUCUUUAAAAAUCAGUCCCAGAAGAGAGCAUUGCUUUACUGAGGGGCCUUCUCAGUGCAGUGUCCAUGUGCCUCUAGCUCCCGUUGGUGUGGAGGGUACUGCCUUGGCCUGUGGCGUUUGUCCUGUCUCAUCUCUCCCAGCAUCCAUAGGAACACACUAACAUUGGGAUGGCAGGCACAUCCUGGUACUGGCACAGACUGAAGAGUCUGUGUUUCUGUACCACUUGAGGUAUAUGUUUAGUUUUUUUACGUAUCUUCUAAGAAGCUCAGUUUUGCGGUUUUGAUUUCAGGUUGCAAACAUUUAAAUUGUGCACAGCAACAGGUUCUCAGUUCUGCCAGUUCCUUUAUGCUCCUGUAAUCGGCUAACUGUGGAUUUGAUGUCAAGUAUGCAUGUUACCUUAUGUGUAUUUAAUCAUGAAACUUAAUUUUUGCACACUUGUUUGUACUGUUUUCUUUGAAAUAAAAGUGACUAAUUUUGUCGUACUCUA